CGGCGGAGCCGGCGCUGCGAAUGGACUGAUGGCCGCUGAGGCUGCUCCUGGCGCGGUUCAUCAUCGGCCGCCGCACUUUCGCGACUGAGACGAAACGACACUCACCUUUACUUAAUGGAAGGCUUCGCUUACAUCCUGAACUUAAAGGAACUACAGAAAGGGACAGAAACUGCUUUCUUUUUAAACAAUGCGCUGAAAGGUUACUAGUGAUAGGAGGCUUAGUGAAGCGCGUGAUGUGAACGGCCACGCUGCAAGGCUGGAGAGAAAAGAGGAGGGAGUGAAGUUGCACCCUGAUCGCGAAUCCUCGGCCUUUUAUCAGGGGCGCCGCCACUCGGGGUCCGACCAUUCGCCUCCAACGAGGGGACAGCGAAUCUGCUGUCGUGUGCAGUCCACAGCAACCACAGGUAUAUGAAAUAAUGUCACUACAUCGGAGCAGCGCCUCUGCUUGCACACCUAUGGGAGUCUGCAGCUGUGACACGUAGAAGUUGGCCACAUCCAGGUCGGUGGCUCCAAAGUGGGCGGCCACACGCACACCCUCGUGCAACGUGAAGCUCACCUGAUGACCCACCAUGGCCAGCAGGCUGCGGAGGUAACGCUCCCGAAGGGCGGCUCGUGCCCGCUGCUCCUGGGAUUCCAGGGAUUCUUGAGCUAUGGGACACUCCUGGAUUUCAGGAACCUCUGGCCUCAAGGGGGCUCUGCGUCCAUCAGGGGCAAAGCCACGGCUGAAGCCAUCAGGGCCCCGGGGCAGCCGGAGCACAGGCACGGGAAUGUUCACUGGAGUUUGCAUUGUCUUGGCUGUUGAGUGAAGAAAAAGAGCAGGAAGUCAUUACAUGGUAAGCAUGGGGCUAAUGGAGGAGGGAGGAGUGGAAGCAGAGGCUGGUCUACCAGGCAGCUCCACUGCACCUGCCCCAGACUGAUCCACCCUCCUAAAAUCUGUGCCAUCGUCCCCCAAUGGCUUGGAUCAGAAACAAAAGUGUCACAUGCACAAAAACAUGAGCCCCGUGAAGGCAAGGACCUUUGUCUGCUUUUAUAAUGUUUUUAUCU
rnacentral:lncRNA from 1 species